AUUGAACGCUGGCGGCAUGCUUUACACAUGCAAGUCGGACGGCAGCACAGAGAAGCUUGCUUCUUGGGUGGCGAGUGGCGAACGUGUGAGUAAUAUAUCGGAACGUACCGAGUAAUGGGGGAUAACUAAUCGAAAGAUUAGCUAAUACCGCAUAUUCUCUGAGGAGGAAAGCAGGGGACCUUCGGGCCUUGCGUUAUUCGAGCGGCCGAUAUCUGAUUAGCUAGUUGGUGGGGUAAAGGCCUACCAAGGCGACGAUCAGUAGCGGGUCUGAGAGGAUGAUCCGCCACACUGGGACUGAGACACGGCCCAGACUCCUACGGGAGGCAGCAGUGGGGAAUUUUGGACAAUGGGCGCAAGCCUGAUCCAGCCAUGCCGCGUGUCUGAAGAAGGCCUUCGGGUUGUAAAGGACUUUUGUCAGGGAAGAAAAGGCUGUUGCUAAUAUCGACAGCUGAUGACGGUACCUGAAGAAUAAGCACCGGCUAACUACGUG
rnacentral:rRNA from 1 species